CCCUCCUUCUGGCUGCGCUUCUGCUCCCUGACACCACCAGCCAUCCUGGCCAGCAGCAGCCCUCCCUGGUGUUCCGGGGGAAUUUGGGGGACUGCGGGUGUCACCGAUGUCUCUCCGCAAAGAAGGAAGGUGAACUGGGUUCCCUGAGUGCUUCCGAUCCCUUCUCUUGUGCAUCAGUGUCCGGAACUCCCAGUUCUUUAUUUAGCUAAUUAUCUGAUUCCAUGCAGAUUUGGAAGGAAUACACUAAUACUGAUGAUAGGUGUUCAGUGCGGAGCAGCUUGUGCAGCUGGAUGGAUGAGAUGUGGGUUGUGGAGCAGUUCCUAUGCUGACCUGAUUCCCGGGGUCAGGCGGUGGGGCAUCAGCUCUCCUUCCCAGAUCUCACGCAGGAGCACGGACCAACUUUUACUCGGCAGCCAGGACUGGGGUGAUGUGUCCUGCUGCAGAGAGGGAACAUCAUGGGGCCAUUCUCUUGUAAAUCUUCUGCUGCCCAGCACUCACCGCUGUUGAUAUCCACUGCGACACAGCUUGACGAGGGGAAAACCAUAAAUACAUUUCACAGUGGAAAAGACAAUUCAGAGGUCCAUGAAAAGUGCUUGAUGACUCCAGCUUACGCACAGGGAGGACCCCAAGCAACCAGGUCCAGAUGGUAUAAAUGCCUCAAGGAGGACAAAGUCAGCUGAAAAAAAUAAAGGAUAUGUUCCAAGAAAGCAAUACUAGUAUGUUAAAAGAAACAAACUGAGAACCAGGCAAAAACUUUAAAAUUAACACAAAGCAAGAGUAAGUUGUGCCAAAUAUUCUGUCAUGUUUAGGUGGUAAAUCCUUGCCAGCGUCAUUUCUUGUUGUUCAGUACUUAUUAUCUUCAAUACCAGUGAAAUUUAUCUACUUGCUUGUAAAAAUCAAUUGAUAAAUAAA